AGCCUGCCCACUGAAUAAUUUUUUAAAUGGCCGCAGUAUACUAACUGUGCAAAGGUAGCAUAAUCAUUAGUCUUUUAAUUGAAGGCUGGUAUGAAUGGUUGGACGAGAUAUUAACUGUUUCAUUAAAAUUUAUAAUAGAAUUUUAUUUUUUAGUCAAAAAGCUAAAAUGUAUUUAAAAGACGAGAAGACCCUAUAAAUCUUUAUAUUUAGAUUAUUAUAAUUUUGUAGAUUUUUUUUGUUAUAAUUAUUAAUAAUAUUUUAUUGGGGUGAUAUUAAAAUUUAAUAAACUUUUAAUUGUUAAAAUCAUUAAUUUAUGAAUAAUUGAUCCGUUAUUAGCGAUUAAAAAAAUAAGUUACUUUAGGGAUAACAGCGUAAUUUUUUUGGAGAGUUCAUAUCGAUAAAAAAGAUUGCGACCUCGAUGUUGGAUUAAGAUAUAAUUUUAGGUGUAGCCGCUUAAAUUUUAAGUCUGUUCGACUUUUAAAUUCUUACAUGAUCUGAGUUCAAACCGGUGUAAGCCAGGUUGGUUUCUAUCUUUAAAAA
rnacentral:rRNA from 1 species